UGCUUGCACCUUUCAAGUGAGUGGCGAACGGGUGAGUAACACGUGGACAACCUGCCUCAAGGCUGGGGAUAACAUUUGGAAACAGAUGCUAAUACCGAAUAAAACUUAGAGUCGCAUGACACAAAGUUAAAAGGCGCUUCGGCGUCACCUAGAGAUGGAUCCGCGGUGCAUUAGUUAGUUGGUGGGGUAAAGGCCUACCAAGACAAUGAUGCAUAGCCGAGUUGAGAGACUGAUCGGCCACAUUGGGACUGAGACACGGCCCAAACUCCUACGGGAGGCUGCAGUAGGGAAUCUUCCACAAUGGGCGAAAGCCUGAUGGAGCAACGCCGCGUGUGUGAUGAAGGCUUUCGGGUCGUAAAGCACUGUUGUAUGGGAAGAACAGCUAGAAUAGGAAAUGAUUUUAGUUUGACGGUACCAUACCAGAAAGGGACGGCUAAAUACGUGCCAGCAGCCGCGGUAAUACGUAUGUCCCGAGCGUUAUCCGGAUUUAUUGGGCGUAAAGCGAGCGCAGACGGUUUAUUAAGUCUGAUGUGAAAGCCCGGAGCUCAACUCCGGAAUGGCAUUGGAAACUGGUUAACUUGAGUGCAGUAGAGGUAAGUGGAACUCCAUGUGUAGCGGUGGAAUGCGUAGAUAUAUGGAAGAACACCAGUGGCGAAGGCGGCUUACUGGACUGCAACUGACGUUGAGGCUCGAAAGUGUGGGUAGCAAACAGGAUUAGAUACCCUGGUAGUCCACACCGUAAACGAUGAACACUAGGUGUUAGGAGGUUUCCGCCUCUUAGUGCCGAAGCUAACGCAUUAAGUGUUCCGCCUGGGGAGUACGACCGCAAGGUUGAAACUCAAAGGAAUUGACGGGGACCCGCACAAGCGGUGGAGCAUGUGGUUUAAUUCGAAGCAACGCGAAGAACCUUACCAGGUCUUGACAUCCUUUGAAGCUUUUAGAGAUAGAAGUGUUCUCUUCGGAGACAAA
rnacentral:rRNA from 1 species